GACGAACGCUAGCGGCAUGCCUAACACAUGCAAGUCGAACGGAAAGGAGAUGAUAUCGUGCGGUGCUCGAGUGGCGAACGGGCGAGUAACCCGUAAGUGUGCUCACCCUACCUUUGUGAUAACUACAGGACACCGGAGCUCGUAUUAAUACCGAACUACUUCUGUGUGGGGGGGGUUUGGAUGAUUGGGCGGUUAGGGAUGGACUCGCGGCUUACCAGACUGUUGGUGGUGGAGUGGCUUACCACGGCCUUGGCGGGUAGCCGGCCUGAGAGGGGGACCGGCCACAUUGGGACUGAGAUACGGCCCAGACUCCUACGGGAGGCAGCAGUGGGGAAUAAUGCACGAUGGGCGGAAGCCGGAUGCAGCAACGCCGCGUGCGGGAUGACGGCCUUCGUGUUGUAAACCGCUUUCGCCUGUAACGAAGCGUGUGUGACGGUAAUGGGUAAAGAAGCACCGGCUAACUACGUG
rnacentral:rRNA from 1 species